GGACCAUGGCUCAGUGGUAGAGCAGCUGCUUUGCAUGCAGAAGGCCCUGGGUUCAAUCCCCGGCAUCUCCA